AUUUUCCUAAUAGUCUGUGAUGAUUACCUUAGAGCACUAGAGGCAGUACAGAAUACCCAGGUGUGCGGUCUAGGGAGGCGAGUGCUUCGUCCUGACUCAUCAGCGGCAGCCUGUCUUCUUGAAGACCAGGGUGCCGUAUCUGGUGCAACGGAGGAUGAAGUCAAGCGAAGCAUGAACUUUGUUCCUAAGGGUUUUGUUGCUGAAAGUUUUUCUUGAAACCAAAAGCCAGCCUGUGGGUGAGUCCUAUAUCUUCUUGGUUCAUUAUGUUACCAUUUUCUGGACAACAUUGCUCAGCACGGGGAUUAACAAGGUCAACUGGGCCGUGUUUGAACAAGUGCUUAUUUUAAUUACAUAGUAUGAGGUGUAGCUGGCUCCUCGCUGAGAAAGAAGAUGGUUAUUUGCUCAGGAUUUCACAAAAAAAUGGCAUAUUCUGUCAUUCUACCUCCACCGAAC
rnacentral:lncRNA from 1 species